GGGGCCCGGCGGGAACAAACAGCCGCCGCCGCGGGAGCGCUGCUCGGGUGGCCGGAGGCAGAUCCUCCUCUAGCCCAUCCCGCAAACCCUCGCUCCCUGGAGCCGCUGCCUUCACUGCGCUCAGCCCUGGAUGGUAAGGGUUCACGCGGGUGCCAGCUGGAGCUGGGAGCAGCAGCGAUAGUCCCCCACCCGUCAUCUCCCCAAGGCAGCGCCCGGGCCACCGAGGCCGAAGCGCGGUUGGAGCCGCACCAGCGGAGCCUGAGACACCGGGACCAACGCCGCCGGAGCGGGGCCCGAAGGAACCCGAGCGGCUUCCGGCCCAAGGCGAGACGCGCUUAAGUGAUCGCAAGGAACAAAGUUGGCGUUCUCAGCCUCGGGCCUCGGAGAGACAUGUCUCAUCUAGUCCCCACUAUUUCAAGAUCCCAGGGACAGAGACUUGUAUGGCAAACAAGAUUUGAAUUCAGAGUUCAAGAAGCACUUCCCGACUUCAGCCAAGUAAGAAGGAUCCUCUUCUUCCUGUCUGUGGAAAUUUCUUGGAUUUGGAAGGAAUUUAUCAUGAAGUUCUGUGGGGCAGGAGGACUGUAACACCAUUUGGAGCAGAAGCAAUUUUUCAGAUGAUGGGGCAGCCUACUAACUCCUCCUGAAGUCAAGGAGCCCUUGGUGUUGCUUGUCUCAGAAAUGAAGAGCUGUCCUGGGGUCUGGAGGAGCCCAGCCAGGUUCCAGUCUGUGUCAAAGGGGAGUGCUCUCUCAGUAGGAAACGGAACGGACAGGGAUGAAAGGAGCAGCCCCAGCCUUACCCACAGAGCCUGAAGUCUGCAACACCCUCUGGGCUGAGUGGCCUGCACCAGCCUCGGGAAAAUGGAACAGGGGCAGCAGGCCUGACUCUGGAGAGAGAGCAUCAGAGAAGAACCCAGGAGGAGGCUGCCCCUCGUCAUGCGUCUUCAUUCUUCAAGCAGUCUCAUUCAGCAAAUCCCAAGCACCUGUGUCUAGACUGUCCUAGGUGCUGGGUCAGUGAUGAGUCAGACUGUCCUCUGGCUUCACUCUGCCCAGGAGAGGGCAGCCAUACAGCCACUGCCCAUACAGGGUGGUCAGUGUGUGAUACGGGCAGAGAAGGGAUGGUAGGGGCACAGAAAAGGGAGCCCACCCAGCCUGGCAAAACCAGAAGGCCUCCUGGAAAGGGUAGAAGUCCAGCUGCAGGGGGGCAGGCCCAGGCUGGAUGAGGGCUCAUUCUCUGUGCACCCACCUCAUCUCAUCACUGCACUUACUGAAUUUCCAUGCAUCUAUCUCCCGCAUUACGGGUACCGUGUCUCACUCAUAUUUGAAUCCCUGGCACUUAGUAUAGUGCCUGGUACAAGCUGAUAGGGGAUAAAUGUGAAUCAAAUGGUCAGAAGGAUGGCUAAGUACUGGGACAAGAAAAUCGCGGAUGCAAAGACGAGAGCAUAUAGUCCAUUCUGGGAAGUGCAAGACUUUCAGUAUUUUUCUACUAAAAAUGAGAUGAGCCCAAUAUCCAUGACAACCUAAUUGGGCAAAGAAUUUGCAAAAGAAUAGAUACAUGUAUAUGUAUAACUGAAUCACUUUGUUGUAUACCUGAAACUAACACAAUAUUGUUAAUCAACUGUGUGCUCCAAUAUAAAAUAAAAAGUUAAAAAAAUUAGAUGAGCUGAAUACCUGUAAAAUUCUUAGGACACUGCCUGACACAUCAAUACUGCUUGUUAGCUAUUUUAACAUUUUUAAAUUAUUAUUUCAAUAAAGCUUUAUUUGCUUAUUUUAGUGAAAACAUUGAGCUUUUGUUGUUUUGAAUACAUUUGUUAAUAGAAUAUAGGUCUUGGUAAGUGGUGC